GUACUUACCUGGAUGGGGUCUAUGGGCGAUCAACAAGGUCUGUGGCCUAGACCAGGGCCUUCCAUUGCACUUAGGAGGGCUGUCUGGUGUAAGGUCGGUCCAAGUGGCUGAACCUACAUCAUAAUAUUUGGAAGCGGGGGCUUGCGUUCGCGCAGCCCCUAA